rnacentral:lncRNA from 1 species
AAAGAUGAAGCCGUACGGCACUCUGUGCUGUAUAGAAUGGAAUUCUAAAUUAAUUAAGGUGGUCAUGCACCUUAAUUAAUUGGAUCCAUGAUAGCUAUUGAUCUAUAUACAUAUAGAAAUCAAUCUCUCUCCGAUCUCUCUUCUGCGCACGUGUUUCUUUCCGAUCAACUUCUCUAUUCUUCAUCGACUGAAAGAUCAUGAAGUGAUUGCUAGCACCGUCCAGAUGGUCCGUGACUCAUCCGGUUCGUGAGACGAAGAUCGAUCGGGUAUGCGCCGAUUCCGUGUGGAUACGCGUAGAGGCCGGGCAUGUGCGCGGCUAAUAAGAAUCUCUGUUCGUCAUAUUCAAUUUCAACCGUACAGUAGAUCAAGAGACCUUAACUGGUCCACGGUAAGAUUUCUAAACAUAAAGAGUUUUUGUUUAGAUUAAUUUUUUGCAUAGUAACAUGAGAAUGAUCCGCCGGCAACGGUUUGAUUUACUGGUUUUCGGUUUUCAUAUGUGAUAUGUAUUUAGCUUCCGAAAAAUUUUAAAAGUGCAAAAUUAUUUUCCGCUGCGUUUUUCUGAUGUGCCGGUUAUUUUCUAACAGAUUUUACUCAAACCUGAAUUUCAAAUGGGACGGAUUUACAGAACGAACCAAAUACAAAAUUAAAUCAGUAUAAAAACUUGUUCUUUAGAAAUUUACAAUAUGAUUUUUUUUAUAUUUAUUUUAAUCAUGAAUAUAUAUUAACGAUCUAAUAUAAUAUUUUACUAUAUAAAAGUUGGGUUCCAUUUUUCAAUUUUGGAGAUAGAUUUUGAUUUUUUUUAAUUUAGAUUCGGUUUCAAAUUUUCCAAAAAAACAUGUUGACAUGGCUAGCUGAUUCUCUACGUCAAAUGGGCUUUAAUAGAAGAGCAAAGUGUUACAUUUUGCAAUUGAAUAGUAGAUUAGGUUAAAUUAAUUACGAAAUCUCCCUUAUGCUUUACCUACUGUCUCAAUUAACACUUCACAUAAUUUUUGUUUUAAUUUGACCUCAUACAAUACCACUAGGUUAAAUUAAUAGUUCUAAAAAUUUUUAACGAUCAACGAGAUCGGGUAUAAUUCUUCAUUAAAAUGAGUUGGCAAAUAGUUAUUAUUAUAGAGAGCCACAUUAGUAAUAAGAAAAUCUUUUAUGUAAGUUGUAAUUUGGAUAGUUGUUCGAUUUUAUAUUAAUGUGAUGUAUCAAAUUAUUUUGUUGUACGAUCUAUUUUAGAUUGUAAUUCUACAACUUUUAUAAUCCAAAAGCCAUAUAUUCGCUACAAGUCUGAUAACUUUUUCUUUAGACAAUGCUCGGAUAAAUGAUUGUAGAGAUUAUAAUUUCUUUUGAUUGUAAACUCAGGAUUUCUCAUAAUAGAAUAAUGCAAGAAUAAGAAUCUAUAGAGUUUUCCGAAAUUAUGGAUCAUUUUGAAACGACAACCCGAUAUUUUAAAAUUUAAUAUUUUUACAGAUAUAAAUUUGUUCAAGUCAAUAAUUAGUUUUCAAGUUAAAAUAUUAUUGACAGACUGACAUCAAAUAAAUUGAAAGCUUGAAAAAUAAAUUUAUAAUUUUGAAAAAUUAGAUAGACACUUUAAAAUAAUUCAUUGCUGUAGUAAUGUAUGUACGUUUUUACCGUAACAGAAGGCAACUUUGCUAGCACGCAAAAGCUACAAACACAAUUGCAGCGAAUCCGCUGUCAAUAGCUUUCGACAGCGACACGUCCAUCGGGCUUCUCCGCUGCCGGCGCGGGGGCCCCAUCAGUCGCGCUCCCCACUCACAAUGCCACGUGGCGGCGGCACGGGAACAUCGCACCACACUCCACGACAGACGUGGAAGGGAUACGGUACACCACGAAAAGUGUUACGCGGGUCUGGUCCAAUGAACCGGACCGGCAAAACAGUUAUAGCAACUGUAGUAGAUGGGUCCGUUUCGAACCGGUCCGGUUCACGAGUCACGUGGUAAACAAGGUCCAAUCAAUAAUGUGCCCGCUAAUGGCCCCCAAGCGUCUCAGCGUCUGUAAGAGGACCGGAUCAAAAUUCAAUGCUUUCGCAGCGAGCACAACCCCACGAUCGCCAUUAAUGGAGCUCACAAUCCCCACGCCGAUACACCCACGAGCUCCCGCGGAUACGAAGCAUCAUAACACCAUUAAUUCCCCUACCACACUCCAUGAUCCAUAGUCUCAUUAAUUUCAAUCAAACAUACAUACCGGUUGUUGUCGGCGCGGGAGGAUAUAUAUAUAUAUAUAUAUAUAUAUAUGAUGAUGAUGAUGAUGAUGCUCCAUCGCCAGCUCUCGGCGCCGCACCCGAUGACGCUCGCGGGCGCGCGGGGCCGCUGCGAGCUCAACGACGAGCUCCGCGUCAAGGCGACCGAGCUCGAGAGGCGGUUCGCCGAUUACAAGCUCCGGAUCGGAGCCGAUGGGACCGGGCCAGCGCCGCGGAGGGGCGAGAUCAGAGGAGGCACGUGCGCCGAUGCUGAUGGCACGUGCGGUGGGGAGGAGAGGAGGAGGAGGAGGAGGAGGAGGAGGAGAGGGGAGCUCUACGGAGCGUACAUGGAGAGGAGGGACGCGAGGUUGCGGGAAGGGUGGAGGACGAGAAUGGAGGAGAAGGAGGCGCAGAUGAAGGCAAUGUGGGAGAGCUUGGAGCGGAGCAGGGCGGAGAUGGCGGCGCGGUUCGGACGAUCCAGGAGCCAUAACGUCGAAAAGGUAACACACUGUUUUUUUCCUUUUUCUUCUGUUAAAACUGAUAGGUUUGAUGAUUGUUUCUAUCUUCCAUUAAGAUGAUUGUUUGUGUCUCAGAGACCUAGUUUGGUAAUGUCCUAGUUAAUACACGCCUCUCUGGUAACGAUUGUAAGCACAAUUUUAAAGCAUCAUAGAAAAAAAAAAAUGAUUAUACGCGAUUUUAGAUUUUUGAGUUUUUAUAAUAUAAAAAUAAUGCUUUUAGAUUUUUAAAUCUUUUAUAAUAUAAAAAUAGUACUUUUUGCUACCAUAUAAUUAAACUAUUCCUGCCUGCACUCUAAGACUUCAAUAUAAGAGUUAUUUUGAUUAAAAUAUAUGAAAGUUAUUUGAGCUAUGACAUAUUUUAAUAUGACUAUCUAAUCUUUAAAAAUUUUAAUUUAUUUAAUUUGAAUUAUUUUAUAACUCUUCGGCUUCUGAAUUUGGAUACAUCGUUCAUAUAAUUAUGUUCUUAUUAAAACAUGCAGCACAUCCACAUUUUAUAUAUAAUCGAACAAUGACUGUAUAUUGCUCGAAUUAAAUAAAUUAAAAAAAAUUAAUACUAAAACAAAAUUCUUUUUAAGUUGUACAGCUGAAUAGAUCAAAAUGGAUUAUACUUUGGGUAAUUAAGUUUUCUAUUUUUUUUCUCUUUUUGAAUGUAAGACACAAGGUGAUAUCUUCCAUAAUUUACUUAAUGAGAUAAAAAUGAUACACAAUUUUUAAUUUUAAGUGGUAUCUCAGUAUCCGAUUUGAUGCAAGCAUACUAAGAAAUUCAGCAGUCUAGUGAAACUAGUCUAACAUAAACAAUAAAAUGAAAAAAUGAAAAAAAAAAGCACAAACUAAUAUUACUUAAAUAAAAGAUGCCCAAUUUGCAUAAUAAAUCUACUAAUUUUGUGAUUUUGCAAAAAUUGGUCACUAUGUUGGGUUUUACAUAUUCGAGUCGGAUUUUCAACAAACUAAUCAAAAUAUCUUUAUUUCUCUCUCUCUCUCUCUCUCUCUCUCUCUCUCUCUCUCUCUCUCUCUCUUCUUCGUUCUUUUUUUUUUUUCUCUUUGACCAUCAUCGUCUCCUCCACCGCCUCUGCCGUCCUCGAUGACGGAAACAAUGACGGCGCCACCUCCUCUUCCUCUAUCUCCUCCUCCGCUGGUCCCGGCGGCUCUCGGCGACGGUAACGAGGGUGACGCUGCCUCCUCUUCCUCUGCCUCUGCCUCUGCUUCUGCUUCCUUCGGCGUCGGAGAAGGAAAAGGAGAAGCCGAAGCAGGCCAGAGUAAGAGCGGAGCUGACGGAGACGAUGAGAUUAUUGCCCAGGAAGUGCUCACCGUCUAUGAGGGUGAGAAAAAAAGACGCGCCCAUCUCUAAAAAGUCAACGAAGGUGCAGUGAGUGGAAAAAAAACAAGAAUAAAAAGUUAAAAAAAAAGAAAGAAGUUUUUUUCUCUUUGAAAUACCAUUAUAUAUCGUUGCUGCUACCGAAAAGACUAAGAAUCAGAAAAAAAAAAAAAAAAAGUAAGAAAAAGAUAAAGGUUGGACUAUUAAAAUAAAAUUGCAAUGUUUUGCAAAAAAAUUAUACUAUUUAAUAUGAACGCUGCAUUCUUUGAAAUACAAGUUAUACUCUUUGAAAUAAAAAUUGCACUAUUUCGAUAAAAAUUGCACUGUUUUAGAGAAAAUGACACUCUACCUUCCAUGGCGACCAUCCUCACCAACGCAAUCCUCUUGACCCCACGUGCGGUAUUAGAGCGCCAAAAUACGGAAACGGCCUACCUCUCCAGCGCGAGGCUCGCGCUAUUCCCAUGUGGCGAUAAAGCAGAGGGGGUCGGAGAAGUCAAACGCCUAGUCGGCACCGUAGCCAGCCACCUUGACUCCCUUAGUAUGGCAGCGGAAACGGUGGAGGCAGCAGAGAUGAUGCGUUGGCGGCGAUGACGGAGGAGGAGCCCAUGUAGAGCGAGAGUGCUGCGAGGCGGAGGCGGCGGCGGCGGCGGCGGCGGCGGCGACGGCAGUGGAGCAGGAGACGUGAUUGAUAGAGACGAGCAGGGUGGAGGGGGAGAAAGGAGGGGUAGGAGCGGGUCAAGGGAAGAGGACUCAGAUUUGGGCACCUUGUGGGCAUACUUGAUGAUCUUGUUGAACAUGGUGCCGGCUCUGGUGUCGGUGGCGGCGGCGGUGGUGGUGGCGCCACCGUGUGGGAGUAGAGAAAGCCUCACGUGCGGGGAGUAGGUUGUCUCCUUAGUUAGUUAAUUCGCGAUUAAAACGCGAAUGAUACGCGAAUUUUAAAAAUUACGUAUUAAACGGUCGGUUCUGUAUUUUUCCGAAAAGUUCGAAAAAAAACGCGAUUUCUUCCUAAAAAAAACUUGUUCGCGAAUUAUUCGUGAUUCGCGAAUGAUUCGACCAAAAAAACGGUGCUCUCGAUCACGGAUUCGCGGCCGAGGGUCGUGUCGUCGCCGUGCUCGUGGUUGCCGCCGCGCUCGUCGUCGCUGAUUCGCGGCCGAGGGUCGCGUCGUCGUCGCUCUCGUUGCCGAACUCGUCCGAGUUGUCCUCCUCCUCCUCCGCCGCCCUGGCCGGCACCGGGAGCAAGAGCCGCGGCGGCGGCAGAUGCCCUCUCGCGCCGUCCGCGGAAAAAUGUGGAAGAGAAACAGUAAAAAAAAUCGGGGCUUUUGAGUAGACUUUUGUGCGCGGUCCACGACCACGUCGUGGACCGCAUGAGAGGGAGGUCCACCGUGGACCUCCCUCUCAUUAAUCAUUAUAUAUAUACUUACUAUAUAAAUAUAUAUAUAUAUAUAUAUAAUAUAUAUAUUAAAUAUAUAUAGAGCCGUCUGGGGUGCUUUCGUAAGCACGGAGCGCUCCGUGCUUCCACUUUGUUUCGAUGUUGGACUUUCAAUCGACGAUCGGCUCCGUUAGACUUGAUCUAGAGUAUUUGAAGUAUCUAGAAAAUAAAUUUUGCGAUUUUUCGAUAUCAUUUGCCUAGUGAUCGAAGUGGCUAAAAUCAACGGCUGAAAUAAAAAUCUCACAAAAUAUGAUGAUAUGACAUUAAAAUUUUAGAUUGAAGUUAUUGAUCUUGUUUAUAUGGUAUAAAGAAUUUUCUAUCAAAAUUUCACGUGAUUUGGAUAUUUCUACACCGUUAAACUUGCAACCGGCUCACCACGGCCGUUAAAAUUAUUGAUUUUGAGCCCUUCGAUCACUAGGCAAAUGAUAUCGAAAAUAUCGCAAAUUUAAUUUCUUGGUACUUUAAAUACUCUAGAUCAACUCUAACGGAGCCGAUCGUCGAUUCGAAAGUCCGAACAUCGAAAACAAAGUGGAAGCACGGACCGCUCCGUGCUUCCGAAAGCACCCCAGCCCACCUUAUUAUAUUAUAUAUAUAUAUAUAUAUAUAUAUAUAUAUAUAAUAUAUUAAUAUAUAUAUAUAAUAUAUACUAUUAUUAUAACUAUAGAUUUUAUUUAUAAAUAUAUAUUCAUUUAUUUAUUAUAUAUAAUUUUGUAUUUAUAAAUUUAUAAAUAUUUAUUAAUAUUUCUAAAUACAUAACUCUUAUGUAUUAUUAAUAUAUAUUUAUUAUAAUUAUGAAUAUAUUUAAUUUAUAUAAAAAAGCAUAAAAAUAAUAUAUAUAGUAUAUUAAUUAUUAUAUAUUUAUUAUAUAGCCGAAUUUUUUAUUCUGAAUUUUUAAUUGAUAAACAUAUAAUAUCCUUAUAAAUUACGUAUCCGAAUAAUUACCAAAUCCGUUUUUUAACUGUAUUUUUCAACGAAUUUAAAAGUUAAAAGAUGAAUUUUAUCCAAAUUAUACCCAUACCGAAUUUUUGCCGAAUCCGAAUUAACUAACUAUGGUUGUCUCUAAGUUUUGAUGCUCCGAUGCGGCGGGCAGAGUGGAGAGGUUUGCGUUGGUGAGAAUGGUCACCAUGAAAGGUAGAGUGCAAUUUUCUCUAAAACAGUAUAAUUUUUAUCGAAAGAAUACAACUUUUGUUUCAAAGAGUAUAAUUUUCAUCUUAAAGAGUGCAACGUUCAUCUUAAACUGUUACGCCCCAGAUUACCACAUUUUUCCGGGCACGCUAACAGACCAGCCGUAUACAAAGAAAUUUUUCUUGUAUACGAAGCGAUAGUUGCACCUGUAAUCACAAUAAAACUACGACAAGUAAUAUAGAGCUGCUAAACUGAAAAAGAUAUAUAUAAAAAAAAACCUCAAGGGGUUCCAGUACAUGCAAAAUGUCUACAACACAACUCGCUCCAGCAAGCACCCCGACAACAUCACAAUAUGUACAAAAAAAGCCCAAAACUACCUUUGGAAGGUAUUCCUCUAACACUGCAACAAGGCUGGAAGGGAUCUCGCUCGCGACUCCCUUUCCACGGUCAGAAUCAACGACAGCAACAACCGCGGACGAAGGCUCUGCAAAAGGUGUCAACAACUCGGUGUGAGAACUACUACAAAAUAGAGUAGUCUUCAGUGGGUAUCGUCACCGACCUCAACGGCUCAGCCACUAAGUCUACAGAAAUAUGAGCAAAGGAUAGUAAGGAAAGCUGAAAAAACUCUACAGCUACAUAUCUCCAUACUAACGCUAACCAACAUAGGCUAUCUGUAGAUAUGAAAGAUGCCUCACUCUGACCCAAUCUCACUGGGGACUGCAAUAUGCCCAUCCCGCCUGUCAAAACGACCACGUACACCACUCCAAAAGUAGCUGGUGGAGAAAACUCUCUGGGGAUUGCGAUACGCCCAUCCCGCAUGUCUAGGCUACACCGUACACCACCUCGAGAGUAGCCGGUGGAGAAAUCUCUUUAAGUAUAAAGGUCCGACAGGACUGCUGCGACUCAACACAAAACACAACAUCACUAAGGGUAGAGAAAGACGUCACUAACUACUACUGACCCAACCUCGCACGGGCUACCCAAACGAACCCACCCUACCUGUAUCCAGCUCAAGAACCGUCCAAACAGAAACUGCGAUCUCAUCGCACUGAAACCUCAUUCCGGAAUGGCAUUCGUGGACGCGACCCAACCGAGUUUACAAGUAUCUCUGCAAAGUUCAUUCAGGCUCUCACAGGCUGUAAUCACUAUAGAAGGGGUCAAACUACUCAAGUCCCCAACUCACGUGCCCCUGACACAAUCUGAUGCAAAAAUGCAGCAGUCUGGGUCCACCGUCAAUCCCGAUGGCACCCGUCGGUCCGACACCGUCUAACUCUACUGUAACAACACACUCGGCUCCUCAGCGCGAGCGUAAAAUCAACCUACACUUGUCUAAGUAUCUACCUUGCACUAACAGCGGUGAUACAGAAAUCUGGGUCACUGUCAACCCCGACGGCAUCCGACAGUACGAAACAGUCUACACAUUACUGUAAAACAAUCUUGGCAUCCUAACACGAGUGUAAACUCACUCUACACUAAUCUGGGUAUCCCCCGCGCACAAACAACGGUGAUACAAAUUAAUAUCAGCUCUUAUAGCUAAAUCUGGUAAUUUUAGAAAAUGACAGUGUAGAAUCUAAUAUGUUUUCUCCUAAGUCAAUUCCAAGUCUAACAUGAAUAUAAUACUAGCUUAACUCCAAAUUCAGGUUUUAUAGCCUAAUCUACAAUUUCCAUGAAUUCGAGUACUAGCACAAUAAACCGUAACCAAUAAAUACAUAUUGAUGGUGAUAGGACUUAGAUGGAAAUCCGGCGAUUUUUGUAAGCUUCAACCUACCUCGAAAAGCUCGUCCAACAACGACGAGAAGUCGAAAGAAGGGAAAACAUAUGCUCGCCCGGUCUCGGCACAACUGCGACGGCCACGCGCUCGAACGGCCCCCCGGAUCGAGUCGACAACCUCUCGGAGCUCAAGCCGUAGCCUUCACCAAGCACACAAUUAAACUAGAGAGAGAGAGGGAAAACCACGCGCUCGCUCGGCCUCCCAACAAUGCGUCGACAACCUCUCGAGCUCGAGCCGCGACCUCUACAACGUACGAGUCCACCGGCUAGAGAAAGAGAGGGAAAUAAGAAGAAUAACCGGCUCAUACUCUCUCUCUGUGAAUAAAUAGGUUGGGAGUAACAUUGGGUUGAUCGACACAUCAAAUGACCAAAAGGCCCCUCACAAACUCAAAAAUUCAGCUGGAAUAUCGAUAUCCAACUUGGUUACCGGUACUCGGCCUCUCAACCCGCAAGCUCGCACACACGGUACUGGUACUCGCCCGAUGCAGUACCGGUAGCCGAGCUCGAUGCCGGUACUCAACAGGUCAGUACUGAUACUCAACAGGUCAGUACCGAUACUCAACAGGUCAAUACCGGUACUCAGCAUCAAAUUGGCGCAACUCGAGAGCAUCAGUUCUGGAAUUCCACUUGGGUACCGGUACUCCUCUCCCUUGUACUGGUACUCAACACUGAAAUCUUUCACUUUACAGAUUUUAAUGUCAAAACUCUGCUCUAGCAUCGCACUGAGUCCGUUUUGUGUCCAGUUUGCCCAAAACUACUCCGACUUGUCUCGACAUUCUUCAGAUGUGUCGACAAGUCUCAAAUGCUGAAACACACGGCUGCAGAACACUAAGGACACUACAUAAACAGUGCAUGUAUCUUAUAAAAUAGUGCAAUUUUAUUUUAACAGUGCAAUAUUUAUCUUUUUCUUCAGCUUUUUCUAAUUCUUAAAUUUUUCGUUAGCAGCAACAAUAAAUAAUAAUUUUUCAAAGAGAAAUUUAUUUUUUAUUUUUUAUUUUUAUUUUUUUGUUUUUUUUUUCUCCUCUCUGCAUCUUUGCUUGCUUCUAGGAGAUGAACACGUCUUUUUUCCUCAUCCUCACGGGCGGCGAGCACCUCCUCGGCAACGACCUCAUUGCCUCUGUACCCUCUACUGUCACCCGGGCCCGUCCGAGUUCUCCUUCUCCUUGUCCGGUGCUGGCGGAAGUGGAGGCGAAGGUGGAGACGAAGGAAGAGGAGGUGGCGUCGCCCUUGUUACCGUCGAUAAGGGCCGCCGGCGUCGGUGGAGGAGAUGGAGGAGAAAAAGGAGGUGACGCCGCCCUCGUUACCGUCGCUGAGAGUCACGGAUGCGGUGGAGCAGGCGAUGAGGGUUGGAGAGGAAAAAAAAGGGUAAACUUUAGAUACCACCCCUGUAGUUUCGUACUUUCUCACUUUAGUACCUUGUGGUUUAAAGUGUAUCAAGUUAGUGUCCAUUUUUUUUAUUUUUAUUUUUUCGUUAGUUUUUCCAUUAAUAUUUCGUUAAAUUAUAUGCCAAAAACUUUAGAUACCCCACCUAGGUUUAUCGAAUAUUCACUUUAGUACCCUUUAGUUUUAACUUUGUUAUUGAUUUAACGAAAAAAUUAGUGGAAUCGAUAAUAAAAAGAUAAAAAUGAAAACACAUGACAUUAAAUUGAUACACUUUAAAUCAUAGGGUACUAAAGUGAGAAAGUGUGAAACCGUAUGGGUGGUAUUUGAAGUUUUUUUUAAAAAAAUAAAAGAAAAAAAGGAGAGAGAACAGAAUAAGAGUAUUUUUGUUAGUUUAUUGAAAAUCCAACCCAAAUUUGCAGAAUUCUGAAUAUUGACCUACUUUUGUAAAAUUGCAAAACUAAUAGAUUUUUUAUGCAAAUUGGCUAUAAAAGAUAAAACAAGAAAAAAGAAAAAGGUUUAUAAAGAGAACUGAUUGUAGAAGUAAAGUACACACCGCCGCCUACUAAGAAAAAAAGAGAACAGUAAAACAAUUUCUCCUCCACUUUCAGAGUUAUCAAUAAAUAUCGUACAUUUUUUCCUAAUUUUUUAAACGACUCAAGAUGUUUUUCCCUAAUAGUUGAUAACUGAAAGAAGAAAAAAUUUUAAAUACCACUUCGGUCGUCUUAUACUUUCUCACUUUAAUAUUUUAUAGUUUAAAGUAUAUCACUUUCGUAUCAUGUGAUUUUAUUUUUUUUCUUUUUAUUAUUCUCUUCACUAAUUUUUUUUGUUAAAUCGGUGAAAAAGUUAAAAAUAAUAGGUACUAAAGUGAAUAUUCGAUAAACUGUAGGUGAGAUAUUUGAAAUUUUUUGUAUAUGAUUUAACGAAAAGUUAAUGAAGUACCGACGAAAAAAAAAUAAACUACAAAAUACUAAAUUGAUACAUUUUAAAUCACAGAAUAAUAAAAUAAAAAAGUGCGAAACUAAAAAAGUGGUAUUUGAAGUUUACCCUUGAAAGAAAGGUUCAAGAGAAAGUUAUUAUCCUCAUAUUUUUCUCGGAUGGAACUUCAGCACACCUGGGUAACCAACGAACGGCCUAAAUAUAGUCCGAGUAUCCUGUAGUGGCCAUGUGGUAAAUUAUAUGGCCGGAAAAAAAUAAUAUUAUUUUUAGGCUAAAUUACAUAAAAUUUUUCAGUCAAAACUCAAUUUUUCACUUUUUUCCUCUGUCAUUUAGAAAUCUACACUUUGUCCCCUUAUAAAAUAAAAAAUGUUCACAGAUAGUACGGUGUAAAUAGGGGUGGAAUUGGGCCAGGGCCUAAGCAAUGCCCGGCCCGAUGGGCCAUAUUUAGGCCGGGCUUUGGGUAUUAAAAAUAUAAUUUUGAAUUUGGGCCGGGCUUAAAAAUUUAGGCCCGAAAAAAUUUUUGGUCUAUUUGGGCAUGUCCAGGCCCGGCUCGAGCCCGAUCCGAAAGCCCGAUAUAUUAAUUAUCAAAAUAAAAUAUUUAAUUUUAUAUAUAUAUAUAUAUAUAUAUAUAUAUAUAUAUAUAUAUAUAUAUAUAUAUAUAUNUAUUUAUAUAUAUGAGGAUAUAUUAUACAUUAACAAUUUAGUUUCAUAUUAGGAUAUAUUAAAUAGUAUUAUUAUAUAUAAUUAAUUAAUUCUACAUAUCUAUGAAUAAAUAUAUUUACAUAUUAUUAUAUAUAACUAAUUAGUUAUGUACAUAAUACUUACUAAAUAUAUAUUAUUUUAAAAUUUUCAAAGAAAAUUAAUUAGACAUUUUAUAUACAUAAUUUAAGGAUAAAAUUAAAAUUUAAAAUACCAUAAUGGUGUUUAAAAAACCACAUAUGCCCUAAUUAAUUAAACGUUCUAUACUUCGACCAUUACAUAAGAAGUUCGUAUCCUACAUAAGUGGAUAAUUAUUGGUACACAUUAAUGGUAUUAUAUUUGAUGUUGAUACAAAUUUCUUUGAUGUGAUCAAACCCCAAUAAAAAUAGGUAUUUUAUUUUAAUUUUGUACAAUAAAAUUAUUUAUGUAUUAUAUAAUAAAUGCAUAAAAUGGGCCUCCAUAAAGCCCGAUGGGUAUUGGGCAUUGGGCUUGGGCUUGGGCUUGAGCCGGGCCUUAAUUUUCAAAAAAAAAGUGAGUAAAAGUCCAACCCGAAGCCCAAUAUUUUCUUUUAGGCCGAGCUUGGGCAUACUAUUACCCGACUCAAGCCCGGCCUAGUUCCACCCCUAGGUGUAAACAGUGAUGACAAAAUGACCAUUUUGCUCAUCACCAUUUUCGGCAACAGGAGAGAAAACUGAUGACAUUUUUUGUAUAAAAAAAUACAUAAAAAUAUUUUAUAAACGGAACCCUAACGGAUCAUUAACAGCAGGGGUGAAAUGAAUAUUUUUCAUUUUACAAGGAGACAAAGCAUAGGUUUUAAAUGACAAUGAGGGAAAGUGAAAAAUUGAAUUUUGACAUGAGGGUUUUCAGUAAUUUAGCCUUAUUUUUAAUCACAGGAGGAAGCAUUCUAGACAUAUUUUGGAUGACAUUAUAAACGUGCAGAGUCUUGCCCAGGAUGACAGAGUGAUGAGUGAAUGUGUGUGUGGGUCGUUGCAGGGAAUAUAUAUAUAUAUAUAUAUAUAAAAUUGAGCUUCUAUGCUUUUAAAAGUGCCAAGUCAUUGGUGCUUGUAGAUUUUUAACCAUUGAAUUAAGAGAUGUGCGGUUAGGAUGAUGUGGGCCCCUUAGGGUUGAGUGGGCGGUUGGUUGAAUAGUAUAAUCUAAUGGUUGAAAAUGAUCCGAAAAGUAGAUCUAACAGUAAAAAAUUUACAAUNNNNNNNNNNNNNNNNNNNNNNNNNUUCCGAUAGCAUAGUAGCUCUACUAUAUAUAUAUAUAUAUAUAUAUAUAUAUAUAUAUAUAUAUAUAUAUAUAUAUAGUGAGGCUGAUAUACUUCUGGAAAUACGAAGUCCUUCGUGCUUCCAAGUCGUUUUCGAUAUCGGCUCCAUUAGACUUGAUAUAGAAUAUAUGAAAUACCUAGAAAAUAAAUUUUGCGAUUUUUCGAUAUUAUUUGCAUAGUGAUCGAAGGAGCUCAAAAUUAACGGCUAAAAAUAAAAAUUUUCUAAAAUAUGAUGGUAUGAUAUUAAAAUUUUAAAUUAAAGAUACUGAUCUUAUCUUGUUUUAUAUAGUAUAUAAAAUUUUCUAUCAAAAUUUCACGUGAUUUGGAUAUUUCUAUACCUUUAAAUUUGCAAACCGCUCAUCAUAACUAUUAAAAUUAUUGAUUUUGAUCUUCUUUGAUCACUAGGCAAAUGAUAUCAAAAAAUUAUAAAAUUUAUUUUCUAGGUAUUUCAAAUACUCUGGAUCAAGUCUACAGAGCUGAUCGUCGAUUCGAAAGUCUUAAUAUUGAAAACGACUUGAAAGCUCAGAGAACUCCGUACUUUUAGAAGUAUACCAGCCUCACUCAGGGCUAUUCUAAUUUUAUGAGGAUCGGAUAUUUUAAUUUAAAAUCGGAGUUAUUGAUCUUUAUUUAGAUAUUGAAUAAAAUUUUUCAUCAAAAAUCAACUGAUUUCAAUUUUUUUGUAUCGUUAAAUUAGGAAAUAUUCUAUACUACCCAUUAAAAUUAUUAAUUUUGAGAUUUUUUGAUUGUAAGGUAAAUGAUUUCAAAAAAUUAUAAAAAAUUGAUUUCUAGAAGUUUCAAAUGUCCUAGAUAAUUUUUAACGGUAUAGAUCGCCGAUUUGAAAGCUCUAUUAUCGAAAAUGACUUAUGAGUAUAAAGACGAUUGUAUUCAUAAGAUUAUAGUAGUC